rnacentral:rRNA from 1 species
GAUGAACGCUGGCGGCGUGCCUAAUACAUGCAAGUCGAGCGAACAGACGCGGCGCUUGCUCCUCUCACGUUAGCGGCGGACGGGUGAGUAACACGUGGAUCACCUACUUAUAAGUCUGGGAUCACUUCGGGAAACCGGCGCUUAUCCCGUAUGAUCUCUUGAACCGCAUGGUUCAAUAGUGAAUGACGGUUUUUGUGUCCCUUCUCGCUGGAUCCGCGCCGCAUUCGCUAGUUGGUAAGGUAACGGCUUACCACGGCGACGAUGCGUAGCCGACCUGAGAGGGUGAUCGGCGACAUGGGAAGGGAGACACGGACCAGACGACUGCGGGAGGGAGCAGUAGGGUAUGUUAGGCAAUAGGGGAAAGCCUGACAGAACAAGGCCGCGUGAGUGAUGAAGGUCUUGCGAUCGGAAAAACGUGUUUUGGGGGAAAAACAAAUUUCGAAUGAAACAAAGCCGUCUUGACGGUAACGAGUCAAAAAGCAACGGCUAACUACGUG